rnacentral:rRNA from 1 species
GACAGAGGGUGCAAACGUUGCUCGGAAUCACUGGGCGUAAAGGGUGCGUAGGCGGGUCUUUAAGUCCGGGGUGAAAUCCUGGAGCUCAACUCCAGAACUGCCUUUGAUACUGAGGAUCUUGAGUUCGGGAGAGGUGAGUGGAACUGCGAGUGUAGAGGUGAAAUUCGUAGAUAUUCGCAAGAACACCAGUGGCGAAGGCGGCUCACUGGCCCGAUACUGACGCUGAGGCACGAAAGCGUGGGGAGCAAACAGG